rnacentral:rRNA from 1 species
UACAGAGGUCUCAAGCGUUGUUCGGAUUCAUUGGGCGUAAAGGGUGUGUAGGUGGCGCCGUAAGUCGGGUGUGAAAUUUCGGAGCUUAACUCCGAAACUGCAUUCGAUACUGCGGUGCUUGAGGACUGGAGAGGAGAGUGGAAUUCCUGGUGUAGCGGUGAAAUGCGCAGAUAUCAGGAAGAACACCAAUGGCGAAGGCAGCUCUCUGGGACGGUACUGACGGCUGAGACGCGAAAGCGUGGGGAGCGAACAGG